UACGGGGGGGGCAAGCGUUGUUCGGAUUUACUGGGCGUAAAGGGCGCGUAGGCGGCGCGACAAGUCACUUGUGAAAUCUCCGGGCUUAACCCGGAGCGGCCAAGUGAUACUGUCGUGCUAGAGUGCGGAAGGGGCUACUGGAAUUCUCGGUGUAGCGGUGAAAUGCGUAGAUAUCGAGAGGAACACCUGCGGCGAAGGCGGGUAGCUGGGCCGACACUGACGCUGAGGCGCGAAAGCCAGGGGAGCGAACGGG
rnacentral:rRNA from 1 species